rnacentral:lncRNA from 1 species
AAGAAAAUCAAGGAGGCCUGCAACUUCGUAUGCAGUCCGCCACUGCAAAUCAGUCUGGAAACUGGAUUCAAAGGUAAAACACACCGAUGUCUUUGAUUUUGGUCUCUACUGCACAGUUUGACAGACAAAUGAUAAACCUAACACAUGCAUGCUUUGAUUUCCUUGGUAGGUCAUAUUUUUCACUUUCUGGAUGUGCAAAGUCUGGAUAGUACACAUCACCGGACCAAACCUUUAUCAGGUAAGGAAUUCCAUCGCGUUUGUUGAAAAUAUUUGCUUCCUUUCCUCUCAUGUAUGUGUAUGUAUGAUUGUAUGUGUGUGAUUUUAGAUUGUAAUGCAUCACAAAUUUGUGGCAUAAAAAUUGACAUUUGUAGACUUACCCUUUGUUUGGUGACUGUGAUAAUUGAGAGAAAGGAAAAUAAAAUUUCGAAGAUUGAUGCUUUUAUGUGAUUUCUUGGCUCUUUUUUUUCAUAUGAUUUUCAUUGUAUGUGUGCCGGUGUAUGUCUCUUCUUGAAAAAUACAUGUUGAAAAUGGGAGAAUUUUGGACAUGACACGUUUAGAAGUGAGGUUUUCUGAAUGAAGACACUUUUAUGAUUUGUUUGUAAUUUGUUUUGCAAAUGGGUAGGAAUGUCAUUCUAAAAGGAUAUUGGCAGGAGAGGGUGGAAUGUCAUUCUAAAAUAUGUGUAAUUCAAUUCUCUCAUUUUCUAUAGCAGAAUUGCGGAUUUCUAAAUCGAAAAGGAGAAAUAAACACUAUAGAAGUUUAUGCAGAAGGAGCAUGUAAAAGAGAAGCACAGGUAAAGGUUUAUGAGGUCAGUUGGCUGUUUUCUUUUUAGUGUUUUCAAUUUGUUCCUUUUAGUCUGGCUGCAAUUUUUUAAUCUCUGGUUAUGCAUCAAUUUCUCUGCUUCUUUGUAAAUCUUGCAGGUGAGGACAACACACUUAUCAGGGCAAUGUCGGGAUGUUUAGGCUUGGGUGGAGACAUGGACUUAUGGAAGAGGUGAAGUAGCUUAGGUUUCUGUCAUUAGCUUUAUCUGUUCUAUGCAUCUCUGCAAUCUUACAAUGCUCCUUUAUUUAAUUGCAAGAUGUUGGGGACCGGUUACUGGAAUACAAGAUUUGGAACAAAAGUGGUUGACAAUGCAAGAGUCGAAAGCAAGUGUGAAAUUCGCAUUGAAAAUGACAGGUGAGAAUGCUAAUCAUAUUCUAAAAAAAUGUUGGGUUUCCUGAUGAGUUCUCUAGCUGAAUUCAAGAGGCAAAUUUAGUGAUUUGGAGUUAAUUUUGUAAAUUUAUUGAAUAAAGUUAUUUGUUAUUUAGCUUAUCUUGCGUUUGGUUUGGUUUUAGGAGAGGGUUACGCAUGAUCCGUAGGUUCAUUCAACCUCGCUGUUUUCGUUAGAAUCACAAUUAAGGUCAGUUUUUCCAACAUUUUUUUUGCUUUUUGCUGCAUGUUUGUGCAUGUUUGGUCUCUGAGAUUUUGUUUUUAGUCACUGUUGAUUUGUAGUUUAUGUCUUCCUUUAGCUACAUAUUGACACAUGUUUAUUCUCAGCAUUUUUUUGUUAUGGCAAGUGGUUUGGGGAGUUCUGUAUUAUUAUAUAAUCUUUGGGGCUAUUUUAAGUAAAAAUGAAAUGUUGACAUUGAUAUAGCAUACGGCACACUUAAUUCACACUCCUAUAUUCGGUUUUCAUGUUUCCAUUGCAACACUCUGCAUUUCCGAGCCAAUGAAUUUUUUGAUAAAGAUGUACUUAAAGCAAUUACAUGCUCUAUCAAGUAUGUUUUAUAUGUGGUUGUGGUAGUUGCAAGGAAAUGAAAUAUUUGUGCUGAUAAUUGGUAGUUUAAAUAUAUAGAAAUAGAGAAGAAUUAUAAAUGGAGCACCUAGGAUAUUUAACAUUGUUUUCUUUUCCAUGUAUUUUUUCUCAUGUUUAAUAUCUGCUUUUGCUUAUGCAUAUGAUUCAAGUGCUAUUUUUAUUAGUGUUAAUUUUGGGUUGCAUAUCAACAAACUAACCCAGUUAAUUUUGCUUAGUGUUCAUGUAUAACGAGAACUCUCAUUGCAUCAACUUGAACAAACAUUCUUCUACUUAGUUGCUUAGCUGCUGCAACCAGAACGAAACACUUUUUAUGUUUUUUUGUUUAACUGCUAAAAC